UAGCAAAUCUUGGGUUAUACUUUCAAUGUGUUUUUAUUCAUGUAUAAUGUUUAAUUUUGUCGUUAUACUUAAUUGAGACUAAUAAAAUUAUUGCUAAUUUCAAUUAUUUUUUUUAGCUGCUGGUCUGCCUCCAAUAGAAAAAAAGUGUUCUUAUUGUGGUCUUCCCGGGCACGGGGAGAUGGAAUGCCAUGUCAAAGCAGCUGGAUAUCCACCUAUGGCAGAGAUAUGCAAAUAUUGCCAUUUCCCCGGGAACGGGGAACCGGAGUGCCACAUUAAAGCAGCAGGAUUGCCGCCGCCAACAGAAGCGCCACCGCCAACAAGCGCUUGAAAAUAAAAUAUAUAUAUGUAUAUCUCUAUCUAUAUA